AACACCCUGGCUACCGUCAUCCAUCCCUUUGUAGCUCUGACCUCCUCCGAUCUCCCAUCUUCCAUCGCAGUCAAGUUGACCUCCUCCUUUAAUCUCCUACCUUUCGUCACAACCCCUUUCUUCACCAUUUCCUUCAUCUUUCGAACCACCACACGCCCCACCGCAGGACAUCUCCCCUUCUUCCUUUCCUUUUCACCCUUCGACCCACCCUCACAGCCCCCACC
rnacentral:lncRNA from 1 species